GGUGUGGCUGAGGCAGAAGGUGUAACCAAAUAUGAUGCAGGUGAAGCUGCUGCAGAUCAGAAAGAGCAAAAAGGUUCAACAACCAUGAAAUCCUAGCUGAGGACGUGCGAGACUGGGAUAUAGCCAGUGACCGGGGGCAAGGGCAGCGUGCGCAGGGUGAUCGACGAGGACUACUGCGGCCCGAUGGGAGUCGUGCUCUUCAACUACUCGGACGCAGACUUCACCGUGAAGCCCCGCGACCGCGUCAUACAGAUUAUCGUCCAGGUGAUUGCGACGCAGGAGGUCCCCGGGUUGGAGGACCUCGACGCCACCGUCCG